rnacentral:rRNA from 1 species
UACGUAGGGCGCAAGCGUUGUCCGGAAUUAUUGGGCGUAAAGAGCUCGUAGGCGGCUUGUCACGUCGAUUGUGAAAGCCCGAGGCUUAACCUCGGGUCUGCAGUCGAUACUGGCUAGCUAGAGUGUGGUAGGGGAGAUCGGAAUUCCUGGUGUAGAGGUGAAAUGCGCAGAUAUCAGGAGGAACACCGGUGGCGAAGGCGGUUCUCUGGGCAUUAACUGACGCUGAGGAGCGAAAGUGUGGGGAGCGAACAGG